rnacentral:rRNA from 1 species
AUUGAACGCUGGCGGCAUGCUUUACACAUGCAAGUCGAACGGUAACAGGUUAAGCUGACGAGUGGCGAACGGGUGAGUAAUGCAUCGGAACGUGCCCGAUCGUGGGGGAUAACGCAGCGACAGCUGCGCUAAUACCGCAUACGAUCUGAGGAUGAAAGCGGGGGACCGCAAGGCCUCGCGCGAUCGGAGCGGCCGAAGUCAGAUUAGGUAGUUGGUGGGUAAAGGCCCACCAAGCCGACGAUCUGUAGCUGGUCUGAGAGGACGACCAGCCACACUGGGACUGAGACACGGCCCAGACUCCUACGGGAGGCAGCAGUGGGGAAUUUUGGACAAUGGGCGAAAGCCUGAUCCAGCAAUGCCGCGUGCAGGAAGAAGGCCUUCGGGUUGUAAACUGCUUUUGUACGGAGCGAAAAGGUCCUUUCUAAUACAGGGGGCUCAUGACGGUACCGUAAGAAUAAGCACCGGCUAACUACGUGCCAGCCGCCGCCGUAA